CAAAAGGGGAGCUUGCAGAUAAGCAGGCUGAGAGUAGGCUGUAUUGCCUUGACCCAUUACCUGAUUUGGAUAAUGCCAACGUAGGGAUAUAGCAA
rnacentral:ncRNA from 1 species